rnacentral:rRNA from 1 species
AGAGUUUGAUCAUGGCUCAGGAUGAACGCUAGCGGCAGGCUUAACACAUGCAAGUCGAGGGGCAGCGGGUGUAGCAAUACAUGCCGGCGACCGGCGAAAGGGUGAGUAACGCGUGAGCAACGUGCCCGUAUGUGGGGGAUAGUCGAUGGAAACGUCGCGUAAUACCCCGUAACACAUUUGGCCGCAUGGCCUUAUGUUGAAAGAUUGAUUGCAUACGGAUCGGCUCGCGUGCCAUUAGGUAGACGGCGGGGUAACGGCCCACCGUGCCGACGAUGGCUAGGGGUUCUGAGAGGAAGGUCCCCCACAUUGGAACUGAGACACGGUCCAGACUCCUACGGGAGGCAGCAGUGAGGAAUAUUGGACAAUGGCCGGAAGGCUGAUCCAGCCAUGCCGCGUGCGGGAAGACGGCCCUAUGGGUUGUAAACCGCUUUUGCGAGGGAGCAAUAAGGGCAACGAGUUGUCCGAUGAGAGUACCUCGCGAAUAAGCAUCGGCUAACUCCGUGCCAGCCGCUGC